CGGAGGCAGCAGUGGGGAAUUUUGGACAAUGGGCGAAAGCCUGAUCCAGCCAUUCCGCGUGAGUGAAGAAGGCCUUCGGGUUGUAAAGCUCUUUCGCAAGGGAAGAAAACUUAGAUACUAAUAUUAUCUGAGGUUGACGGUACCUUGAUAAGAAGCACCGGCUAACUACGUGCCAGCAGCCGCGGUAAUACGUAGGGUGCGAGCGUUAAUCGGAAUUACUGGGCGUAAAGCGUGCGCAGGCGGUUUUGUAAGUCAGAUGUGAAAUCCCCGAGCUCAACUUGGGAACUGCGUUUGAAACUACAAGACUAGAAUAUGUCAGAGGGGGGUAGAAUUCCACGUGUAGCAGUGAAAUGCGUAGAGAUGUGGAGGAAUACCAAUGGCGAAGGCAGCCCCCUGGGAUAAUAUUGACGCUCAUGCACGAAAGCGUGGGGAGCAAACAGGAUUAGAUACCCUGGU
rnacentral:rRNA from 1 species